AGUGAACGCUGGCGGCAGGCCUAACACAUGCAAGUCGAGCGGCAGCGGGUCCCCGCGAGGGGAUGCCGGCGAGCGGCGGACGGGUGAGGAACACAUCGGAAUCUGCCUGGUUGUGGGGGAUAACGUAGGGAAACUUACGCUAAUACCGCAUGCGACCCUGAGUCGACGGACUGGGGGUGAAAGUGAGGGACCUUCGGGCCUCACGCGACCAGAUGAGCCGAUGUCGGANAGCUAGUUGGCGGGGUAACGGCCCGCCAAGGCGACGAUCCGUAGCUGGUCUGAGAGGAUGAUCAGCCACACUGGGACUGAGACACGGCCCAGACUCCUACGGAGGCAGCAGUGGGGAAUCUUGCGCAAUGGGCGAAANCCUGACGCAGCGACGCCGCGUGA
rnacentral:rRNA from 1 species